rnacentral:lncRNA from 1 species
GGCACCAGAGCAAGGGAGGGAGGCGAAAAAUUUGGCAGCCUGAUGGAAUCCCGCGUGCUUCUGCGAAUUUUUGGCUAAGUCCCGGCAUGGACUAGUCUAAUAUAUGGGGGCAUUAGCAAGAGCAUGUAACAUCAUGCUUUUUAGAGCAUUUAAAAAUAUAGACCUUUUUAAAUUUUUCUUUAAUUAUAACAUAAUCUCUUCUCCCAAAUAUUCAGAAGUCAUUUUACAAAUUAAAUUAUGCAUUUAACCUACAUGUGUGAUGCAUUUGAUUGUAUUAGAAAAUCUAUUCUAAAUCCUUCUCUUAUAACUCUAGAGACAUUCUUUAAUCCCUCCAAAACUCUAGGAACAAUAUUUGAACUUGAAUCAAAUAUUAUUUAAAGAACCCUAUGUCAAUUUCCCUUUUAAAUAUUACUCAAAUCCAAUCCUUGGCUCUACAUCAAAACCUUUCCCGAAAAAAUCCUAAUUCUAUGGCCAACUCUAGUCCAUAUAUUCAAUCCCUUUGAAUUUGAAAUCCAAAUUAAAACUAAAAUCCUUUCAAAUAAAUGCCAAACCUUUAAAACCAUUCAUGGGCUGCCAACCCUAAAAACCCAGCUUGGCUCUCUUCCUGGC